rnacentral:misc_RNA from 1 species
GAUGAAGAACGUAGCGAAAUGCGAUAAGUAAUGUGAAUUGCAGAAUUCAGUGAAUCAUCGAAUCUUUGAACGCACAUUGCGCCCGCCAGUAUUCUGGCGGGCAUGCCUGUUCGAGCGUCAUUUCAACCAUCAAGCCCCCGGCUUGUGUUGGGGACCUGCGGCUGCCGCAGGCCCUGAAAACCAGUGGCGGGCUCGCUGUCACACCGAGCGUAGUAGAUUUUCAUCUCGCUCAGGGCGCGCUGCGGGUUCCGGCCGUAAAAAGCCUUAUUUACCCAAGGUUGACCUCGGAUCAGGUAGGAAGACCCGCUGAACUUAAGCAUAUCAAUAAGCGGAGGA